rnacentral:lncRNA from 1 species
AAAUUAAUAAACAAACACUCAAUAUUGGCUAGUGACUCGAGUAUGCAAACAAAGCUACCCAAAUUCAUCAUUGUACAACCCAUAUUCAAUGCUACCAUUUUAUCUAGUCAAAGCUCUAAUGGUAAUAUUGUUAUUGAUGUUACUCUGUUCAACAUUUGAAUUAGCACAUAUAUUAAUUCAAAACAGGCCCCCGCACAAGCUAUACAAGUAAAAAGCCAACACUUACAAAGCAAUGAAAAAACGCACAGCAUAAGAAACGUAAAAGAAAAAAGAUAUGAAACCACUUCAUGGAUAUUCCAUUAGUGAAAAAUACUAAAAAAACUACAAAAUAAUCUAACUGACCAUGAUAGAAAUUAAACCAUUGGUGCAAGUCACCAAGUCUUUAAAACGGCUGAAAGCAUGUACGAAAAGUAACCAUCCAAAACGAUGGCACUCAGAUAUACGGUUGGUAACAGACGACUUAUUUUCAACAUUUGCAUCAGUUGACACGAAGAACUCUUCAAAUACACGCUUAUAAUACCUGGCACCAUCAAAGUUGUAAGAUGUAAAGCAAACUAUAAUCAAAGUAAACAACCUUAUACUGCAAAAAAAA